rnacentral:rRNA from 1 species
UACGUAGGGACCAAGCGUUGUUCGGAUUUACUGGGCGUAAAAGGCGCGUAGGCGGCGCGGUAAGUCACUUGUGAAAUCUCUGAGCUUAACUCAGAACGGCCAAGUGAUACUGCAGUGCUAGAGUGUGGAAGGGGCAAUCGGAAUUCUUGGUGUAGCGGUGAAAUGCGUAGAUAUCAAGAGGAACACCUGAGGUGAAGACGGGUUGCUGGGCCAACACUGACGCUGAUGCGCGAAAGCUAGGGGAGCGAACGGG